GAAAUGCGAUAAGUAAUGUGAAUUGCAGAAUUCAGUGAAUCAUCGAAUCUUUGAACGCACAUUGCGCCCGCCAGUAUUCUGGCGGGCAUGCCUGUUCGCGCGUCAUUUCAACCAUCAAGCCCCCGGCUUGUGUUGGGGACCUGCGGCUGCCCGCAGGCCCUGAAAAACAGUGGCGGGCUCGCUGUCACACCGAGCGUAGUAGCAUACAUUCUCGCUCAGGGCGUGCUGCGGGUUCCGGCCGUUAAACGACCUUCAUAACCCAAGGUUGACCUCGGAUCAGGUAGGAAGACCCGCUGAACUUAAGC
rnacentral:misc_RNA from 1 species